rnacentral:rRNA from 1 species
CAGUGGGGAAUAUUGGACAAUGGGCGCAAGCCUGAUCAGCAAUGCCGCGUGUGUGAUGAAGGCCUUCGGGUUGUAAAGCUCUUUUACCCGGGAAGAUAAGGACUGUACCGGGAGAAUAAGCCCCGGCUAACUCCGUGCCAGCAGCCGCGGUAAUACGGAG